rnacentral:rRNA from 1 species
UUCGGAACGCUNCCUUUCGGGGUGGAGUGGCAGCACGGGUGAGUAACGCGUGGGGAAUCUACCCAUCUCUACGGGAUAGCUCCGGGAAACUGGAAUUAAUACCGUAUACGUCCUCCGGGAGAAAGAUUUAUCGGGGAUGGAUGAGCCCGCGUUGGAUUAGCUAGUUGGUGGGGUAAAAGCCUACCAAGGCGACGAUCCAUAGCUGGUCUAAGAGGAUGAUCAGCCACAUUGGGACUGAGACACGGCCCAAACUCCUACGGGAGGCAGCAGUGGGGAAUAUUGGACAAUGGGCGCAAGCCUGAUCCAGCCAUGCCGCGUGAGUGAUGAAGGCCCUA